GACGAACGUUGGCGGCGUGCUUAACACAUGCAAGUCGAGCGGAAAGGCCCUUCGGGGUACUCGAGCGGCGAACGGGUGAGUAACACGUGAGUAACCUGCCCCAGACUUUGGGAUAACCCUCGGAAACGGGGGCUAAUACCGGAUACGACACAGCUUCGCAUGGGGUCUGUGUGGAAAGUUUUUCGGUUUGGGAUGGGCUCGCGGCCUAUCAGCUUGUUGGUGGGGUGAUGGUCUACCAAGGCGACGACGGGUAGCCGGCCUGAGAGGGCGACCGGCCACACUGGGACUGAGACACGGCCCAGACUCCUACGGGAGGCAGCAGUGGGGAAUAUUGCACAAUGGGCGGAAGCCUGAUGCAGCGACGCCGCGUGAGGGAUGACGGCCUUCGGGUUGUAAACCUCUUUCAGCAGGGACGAAGCGUAAGUGACGGUACCUGCAGAAGAAGCGCCGGCCAACUACGUG
rnacentral:rRNA from 1 species